CUGCAGACAUCCUGGCUCUUCUGGUCUGCUACUAAUCAGGUCAGGCUGAACACUGACUAUAUUAACGUCAGGGAUGUGUCCCCAGACCUAGGUGUGGUAUUAUAAAUUCUGGUGAUAAAU
ensembl:snoRNA small nucleolar RNA SNORA72